GGGGUGAUAGCUCAGUUGGGAGUAUGUAUCCACUUUUGAUCGCGAGGUCACCGGUUCAAUCCCGGUUCAUCCCA